rnacentral:rRNA from 1 species
UUCUUUUUUGUUAUAUAUAUAAGGUAUAACCUGCUCAAUGAUUUUUAAAUAGCCGCGAUUUUAUCGUGCUAAGGUAGCAUAAUAAUUUGUCUUUUAAUUAAGGUCUAGAAUGAAUGGUUGAACGAGAAAUUAACUUUUUUAAUUAAAUUUUUAUGAAUUUUAUUUUUUAGUAAAAAAGCUAAAAUUUAUUUAUGUGACGAUAAGACCCUAUAAAAUUUUAUUUUCAAAUAUUUAUUUAUUAAUUAGUUUUAUAACAAUAUUUAUUUAUUUUGUUAAUUUGGUUGGGGCGAUUAUUUUAUUUUUAAAACUAUAAUUUAUAUUAAAUCAUUAAUUUAUGAAUUUAUGAUCCUAAAAUUUAGAUUAUAAGAAUAAAUUACUUUAGGGAUAACAGCGUAAUUUUCUUGGAGAGUUCUUAUUAAUAAGAAAGAUUGCGA